rnacentral:rRNA from 1 species
UACGUAGGGUGCGAGCGUUAAUCGGAAUUACUGGGCGUAAAGCGUGCGCAGGCGGUUUUGUAAGCCAGAUGUGAAAUCCCCGGGCUUAACCUGGGAAUGGCAUUUGGGACUGCAAGGCUUGAGUGCGGCAGAGGAGACUGGAAUUCCUGGUGUAGCAGUGAAAUGCGUAGAUAUCGGGAGGAACACCAAUGGCGAAGGCAGCUCGCUGGGACGGUACUGACGCUGAGACGCGAAAGCGUGGGGAGCAAACAGG